rnacentral:rRNA from 1 species
GAUGGCGACCAAAGCGGGAGGGUUCACCUGUUCUCAUUUCGAACACAGAAGUUAAGUCUCCCUACGGUCUGGGUUGUACUUGUUUCGACAGGGAAGCCCAGAUAGUUGCCUUUU